AACUGUACAGUCAUCGUUUUGUUGUUAUUUUGCCGCGGCGUGUCGGUGACGUCAGCGGCGUUGGUAACAAGCUGUGUUUAUGUAUCUGUACUGCUUUCGGUAGCCUACGUGCGCAUCAUCCUCCCCUCUUCUCCUCUUUUACUGCCUCCUCGCUCUUCUUUUUGGGACACCUUUUAGACGGUCGUAGUACGUGGGCUGAACUGCCUCUCGUGGGGGCUCGCACGUUGUCGGCUUUCUCUUGUUUUAUUUCUUUUCCUUUCGGUGGCGUUGCUGCAGAGUAGAGACCUCGAUUUACAUUUUUUUGUUGCGACACGUGCGAACAGACUGCCUCACGUGCAGUGACGCGCACACGUACGUGUUGGCAACACCGCGAAACGAAAUCGUCCCUCGACACCAUCUUUUCUUGUGCGAUUUUUCUUUUUAAUCCUUGCUGAAGACGUCGCUUCAAUCACCGUUUGACACGCCGUUGUGUUUCCGUGUGUCCGUCUGCGUAACCUCUGUGGUCGAGCGCCCUCUGUUUCUCGCGGGGGGAAGACCUCACCUUGGGAGGGGUGCGACUCGCAAGGUUUGGAGGUCCUUGGCCUCUAGCCUCUUCCUCUCCCUUCUUCAAGGCGCCCCGGAGCACUAAUCGUACAGGACGCGCCAGUGGUGCCUGUCGAGCGGCUGGUGUUGUGCUUGUUGAAGCUCUGCCUCACCUCAGCCGCCGCAACUUUUCCUCCCCGUUUUUUUCGUCUGUUGUUCCUGAGAAGCUUUCGCCGUCUCUCUCCUUUUCCCUUCUCCUUUCUAUCUCGGAGGCAUACACGCACACACAACCCAACGUAUACACUAG
rnacentral:misc_RNA from 1 species